UUUAUGGAGAGUUUGAUCCUGGCUCAGGAUGAACGCUGGCGGCGUGCCUAAUACAUGCAAGUCGAGCGAACAGACAAGGAGCUUGCUCCUUUGACGUUAGCGGCGGACGGGUGAGUAACACGUGGGUAACCUACCUAUAAGACUGGGAUAACUUCGGGAAACCGGAGCUAAUACCGGAUAAUAUUUCGAACCGCAUGGUUCGAUAGUGAAAGAUGGUUUUGCUAUCACUUAUAGAUGGACCCGCGCCGUAUUAGCUAGUUGGUAAGGUAACGGCUUACCAAGGCGACGAUACGUAGCCGACCUGAGAGGGUGAUCGGCCACACUGGAACUGAGACACGGUCCAGACUCCUACGGGAGGCAGCAGUAGGGAAUCUUCCGCAAUGGGCGAAAGCCUGACGGAGCAACGCCGCGUGAGUGAUGAAGGUCUUCGGAUCGUAAAACUCUGUUAUUAGGGAAGAACAUACGUGUAAGUAACUAUGCACGUCUUGACGGUACCUAAUCAGAAAGCCACGGCUAACUACGUGCCAGCAGCCGCGGUAAUACGUAGGUGGCAAGCGUUAUCCGGAAUUAUUGGGCGUAAAGCGCGCGUAGGCGGUUUUUUAAGUCUGAUGUGAAAGCCCACGGCUCAACCGUGGAGGGUCAUUGGAAACUGGAAAACUUGAGUGCAGAAGAGGAAAGUGGAAUUCCAUGUGUAGCGGUGAAAUGCGCAGAGAUAUGGAGGAACACCAGUGGCGAAGGCGACUUUCUGGUCUGUAACUGACGCUGAUGUGCGAAAGCGUGGGGAUCAAACAGGAUUAGAUACCCUGGUAGUCCACGCCGUAAACGAUGAGUGCUAAGUGUUAGGGGGUUUCCGCCCCUUAGUGCUGCAGCUAACGCAUUAAGCACUCCGCCUGGGGAGUACGACCGCAAGGUUGAAACUCAAAGGAAUUGACGGGGACCCGCACAAGCGGUGGAGCAUGUGGUUUAAUUCGAAGCAACGCGAAGAACCUUACCAAAUCUUGACAUCCUUUGACAACUCUAGAGAUAGAGCUUUCCCCUUCGGGGGACAAAGUGACAGGUGGUGCAUGGUUGUCGUCAGCUCGUGUCGUGAGAUGUUGGGUUAAGUCCCGCAACGAGCGCAACCCUUAAGCUUAGUUGCCAUCAUUAAGUUGGGCACUCUAAGUUGACUGCCGGUGACAAACCGGAGGAAGGUGGGGAUGACGUCAAAUCAUCAUGCCCCUUAUGAUUUGGGCUACACACGUGCUACAAUGGACAAUACAAAGGGUAGCGAAACCGCGAGGUCAAGCAAAUCCCAUAAAGUUGUUCUCAGUUCGGAUUGUAGUCUGCAACUCGACUACAUGAAGCUGGAAUCGCUAGUAAUCGUAGAUCAGCAUGCUACGGUGAAUACGUUCCCGGGUCUUGUACACACCGCCCGUCACACCACGAGAGUUUGUAACACCCGAAGCCGGUGGAGUAACCAUUUGGAGCUAGCCGUCGAAGGUGGGACAAAUGAUUGGGGUGAAGUCGUAACAAGGUAGCCGUAUCGGAAGGUGCGGCUGGAUCACCUCCUUU
rnacentral:rRNA from 1 species